UAGAAUGCAGUCAGUAAAUGUUGACCAUUAUAAUUAUCAUUACUUUUUUUUCUUAAAGAGCAAGAGCUGAAAUCAAGAGGACUGAGCUAGGAUAACUUAACCCCAAGAUCAUACAGCCAGUGAAUAGCAAAACCAAUACAACCCAUCUCCAGGUAUCCAACCCCCGUUGAGUCAGCCUGAACACAUCACAGUCCUUCCUACAGCUCCACAGCAACACAAGAGUCUGCCAAAUGGGUAAGAAAAUAUGGUGCAUGCACAAAAAAAGAAAAGAGUUCUGCCAUGGAGCAGCCUGAGGUCAUCCUACUAAAUGAAACAAACCAACUACGGAGACAAAUACAGCAAGACUCCACUUAUAUAAGGUACUUAGAAUAGUCAAAAUCAUAGACAAAGUUAAAUGGUGGUUAUCAGUUU
rnacentral:lncRNA from 1 species